rnacentral:rRNA from 1 species
CCUACGGGUGGCUGCAGUCGAGAAUCUUCGGCAAUGAGCGCAAGCUUGACCGAGCGACGCCGCGUGCGGGAUGAAGGCCCUCGGGUUGUAAACCGCUGUCGUAAGAAGGGAAAUCUAUCGGGGUUCUCCCCGGUAGUUGACCUGUCUUAGGAGGAAGUCCGGGCUAAGUUCGUGCCAGCAGCCGCGGUAAGACGAACCGGACAAACGUUAUUCGGAAUUACUGGGCUUAAAGGGUUCGUAGGCGGCCCCGUAAGUGAGAUGUGAAAGCCCUCGGC